rnacentral:miRNA from 1 species
CUCAUGCCACCCUGCCAGUCCUGCGCCGCUUUGCAAUGCUGGAAUCUGGUCUGCAUGAUUCUCCUGAAGAAUCAUUCAGAUCAGAUCCCAGACUUGCAAAGCGGCGCAGGACUGGCAGGGCGGCGUGAGC